AUUGAACGCUGGCGGCAUGCCUUACACAUGCAAGUCGAACGGUACAGGCCGCAAGGUGCUGACGAGUGGCGAACGGGUGAGUAAUGCAUCGGAACGUGCCCAGUCGUGGGGGAUAACUGCUCGAAAGAGCAGCUAAUACCGCAUACGACCUGAGGGUGAAAGCGGGGGACCGUAAGGCCUCGCGCGAUUGGAGCGGCCGAUGUCAGAUGAGCUAGUUGGUGGGGGAAAGGACUACCAAGGCAACGAUCUGUAGUUGGUCUGAGAGGACGACCAGCCACACUGGGACUGAGACACGGCCCAGACUCCUACGGGAGGCAGCAGUGGUGAAUUUUGGACAAUGGGCGCAAGCCUGAUCCAGCAAUGCCGCGUGCAGGAAGAAGGCCUUCGGGUUGUAAACUGCUUUUGUCAGGGAAGAAAUCUUCUGGGCUAAUACCCCGGGAGGAUGACGGUACCUGAAGAAUAAGCACCGGCUAACUACGUGCCAGCAGCCGCGGUAAAAC
rnacentral:rRNA from 1 species